AUCAUCAGUGUGUAAAGCGGGGUGCCUGGCUGCUAGUGUAACGUGCUGUUGUAGCCAUGGAAAAGUGCUCAAACCAAUACAAAUCAAACCAAACACAACCCAAUAUCCCCAAGUCCAAGACUCCUUUGUCUCUAAUAUCUGUUUUUAAAGGAGCGUCUGAACCACAGUGGCAGGUGUAGGCAAUGGACUGCAGAUUGAGGUGAGUCGUAGGCGGAGCUACAAAUCACCCAAAUUGUAACGGGAACCGUCACAGACAUUCAAUGACAACAGUGCAGUUGUUUUAUCAAUAUAAAAAAAGCAUAAAUUAAAUAACCACAUUUAUUAAAACAGAACACUGCUCUUCCAAUGAUGCUGAUAUUCAGUCUUUGACAAGUUAAUGCCCA